rnacentral:tRNA from 1 species
GAUGGCUCAUUGGUAGAGCACUUGCCUUGCAUGCAUGAGGCCCUGGGUUCAAUUCCUCAACAUCA